AAAAAAAAAUUUGAAGCAAAAAAAAAUUUCAGUUUGGACUUGUAAUAUUUUUCAAAAUUUGAAUAUCGAAAAAGGAAAUGGAAACCGAAUAAGGAAAUAGAAACCGAAAAAGGAAAUGAAUAUUGAAAAAGGAAAAAGAAACCGAAUAAGGAAAAAGAAACCGAAUAAGGAAAAAGAAACCGAAUAAGGAAAUGGAAAUUGAAUAAGGAAAUGAAAAUCCAAUAAGAAAAUAGAAACCGAAUAAGGAACUAGAAACCGAAAAAGGAAAUGAAUAUUGAAAAAGGAAAAAGAAACCGAAUUAGGAAAUGAAAAUCGAAUAAGGAAAUGGAAAUUGAAUAAGGAAACGAAAAUCCAAUUAGGAAAUAGAAACCGAAUAAGGAAAUAGAAACCGAAAAAGGAAAUGAAUAUUGAAAAAGGAAAAAGAAACCGAAUAAAAAUGAAAAUCGAAUAAGGAAAUGGAAAUCGAAUAAGGAAAUGAAAAUCCAAUAAGGAAAUAGAAACUGAAUAAGGAAAUAGAAACCGAAUAAGGAAAUGAAUAUUGGAAAAGGAAAAAGAAACCGAAUAAGGAAAUGAAAAUCGAAUAAGGAAAUGGAAAUCGAAUAAGGAUGAUAAUCGAAAAAGGAAAAAAAAAACGAAACGAAAAAAAAAUUUGAAGAAAAACUUUUUGAGGAAAAACAUUUUGAGGGAAAAAAAAAUUUGAGAAAAAAAAAUUGAGGAAAAAAAAUUUGAGGACAAAAUUUUUUUGAGGAAACAAAAUUUUGAGGAAAAAAAAAAUUUUGAGGAAAAAAAAAAUUUGAGGAAAAAAAA
rnacentral:lncRNA from 1 species